GCGAGCUGGGGAAUGCGGAGCUGGAGUCAGGCUAAUCUGUGAGCGCAGAGAGACUGGCUCCUGUCUGCCUGUCUGCCAGGCCUCUAUCUGUGCGUCUCAGUUCACACCCUCCCUCCCUCCGUAUCUCUACUGCAGUGCUGGGGCACAGCAUGGGAUUCAACUGGCCUCCACAGGGCCACAAACUACUAGUGCACACUCAGAAAUCUAAAUCAGCUCUGCUAUAUAUGGGGGACAAGCAUCCAACAUACACUUUGACGCAAGACCUCACACUUGCAGUUUUGGGCGAUGACCAGCAGAGGGAGAUGACCAUCAACCUCAAACCACCCUCUGAAGAGUGCAGAAGCACAGACUGAAUCGAUUGUAAUUAUCUAGUCAUGAUGUCUUACAGGUAUAUUGGCUUUCCACACAAUUGGAUGCAUUUAAAAUACACAAGAACGGGAGAUUUUGCACUUGAAUGCAUGUGGACGUCACUGUCCCGUCACCAAAAAUGGCAGAUAAAGAUGUGUUUUUAACAUAGCAAUGAAUUGCAUAAAAAUAAAUUGGGAAGGAAUUGGGAAAAUAAGAAUGGAAGCAUUUAGGCGUGAUCGUUGGAGGAUUAUGGGAAAGAGAGGGAUGGAAAGAGAGGUAGAGUGCUGACUCCUGCCGAGUAAAGGCCUCCUCUCUCUCUGCCUCUUUCUUAAUUACUGCAUUGAUUGUUGAAGCACAGGGCUGAAGACCUGACGUAGAGAGAGAGAGAGAGAAGGGAUGGAGAGGUGGAUAUGGGUUGAUCAGAAAGUGGGCAAAUGUAUGUCCGUCCCAUGCAACUCACUCUCUUCAUCAGAUCAUGUCUGUGCAUCUGUCUGAGGCUUUUUCCCUGUAAUUUCUAGAGGUUACUGUCCUGCCAUUUUUACAGUAUAAAUAAACUCCUUCCGCACCAUUAAACAAUUACAAUCAAUAUGUAUCAACAAGGAACCUAAUUAGUUUUAAAAGACAAGCAAUUAAAUAUUAGUGCCCUCUGUAAACAAAUUUACUAUCCUAAUUCAAUAACACUAAAUAUCAAAGGUGAUACACGGUCAGAGGUUUUAACUGUUCAGGACUAUUUCGCUCCAACACACAUACAGUUUAGAAUUUGAAAUAUAGGCUUGCUGCGAAAAUGUGCCUCUACCUACAUGUUUGCAAAACUCCAAAAUACUUACUUAUACAUACAAUUCACUUCAGUUUAAAUGACCACUAGUGGCAGUAAAACAACUUUGCACUGAAAUUAUGAUUACAUUGGCCAAUUACUGAAUAAUAAAAACAUUUUUGCACAGUUACUUGCAUAAUACUAUGUUUACAUGAUGUAAUCACAUCUAUAUAUGGC
ensembl:lncRNA